UGUUAUCAUAGUUGUAAUUGCAAUUUAUUUUUUUUUCACAAGGAGAGAUAUUAAAAGAAUGACAUUUUUCAAUUUCAUACAUUAUUUAGCUUUUCUGAAAUGGGACUCUUGGUGUUCUUAAAAUAUAGAGGAUUUACAUAGCUGUGUGAUUAAUUCUAAGAUGGUAGAAAACUGCUGUUGAUCCUUUCUUUACAGAGAUGCAAAAAUAAUUCAGGUUUUAAAAUCAGGCUGUCUUCUCACUAAUGAAUAUAUUAUGUGCAUGAAACACAUGCAGCAACUGUCUAACACCAUUUACUUGUUUGAAUUUGUCCUAUCAGCUAACCUUGUUUAGUAUGGGCAUUUUUCAUAAAUACGAUGGCUUUUUUUUGUCCUUCACUAUGUGGCUGUUUUUUUCUAUAGUUGAAAAAAAAGCCUGUGUUUAUGCUUGAUCUUUUCUAUGAAUUUCCUGUUUUCUUAGAGUUCACAAGAAGCAAACCAGAAAAAUAUAGGAAGGCAAUUUCUAUGAAUGACAGAUGACAUUAGUAUGAAAUGUCUAGUUUUUCUUAUAUCUGUCUGCUUUUUCCCUUUUAGAGAUGCAAUAAAGUGGGGCUUAAAUGCAUCCUACACAUUGAGAGCCCUGUAUAUAUCAGUAUUGCUGAAGCCACACAGGACCUCCUGCAACCCACAGCUUUUCUGUGUUUCCCCAUUGCACUGUGUGCCUGAAGCAGGUCAGUGUCUGAGCAGUACAGAAGGAAAAUAAAUAAUGUGGUUCUCCAACAGACUUCUGCCACUCAACUUUUCUGCCUUUCAUUUUAUGUUAUAAAGAACCUACAAAAUGUGCAGGAUAGAGAACUUACAAAGAAAACCCUGGUGGGCUGAAGUCUUGUUCUUUGUUCCUCAGCCCUCAGAGAUUUCCUGCUCAAGAGCAUUUGCAGUUAGAUUUAAGACCCCCUAAAACAAAAUGAUAAGCUAUGUAGGUUCAUUGAUUGCAAAGCUAAUGCAAUAUUUGUUUGGUGCUUGCACAAAGAUAUUUUUGUAGUUGCUUAGUCUGUAGAGAUUCAAGAUCCUGACUGAGACAUUGUUCAAUUCUGGUAAAUAGUUGACAAAUUAUUAAAGUGAGGCCGCAGAUUAAAUCUAACAAGAUAAAAAUGCAGUGAAUGUGUUGCUGCAUUUGGACAUCCUGGGUAGUUGUUGCAUUUUUUUCUUUUCUUCCCCCACUGUUUCUAAACAUUCUUUGUCCAUUUUAUGAUUUGUAUAUUUGUCAUAAUUUAGAUAAGGAUAAAUUCCUCUUAGUUAGGGUAAUAGCUGAUAACAUGUAUUAAUUAAUUCUGGUAUAAAUUGUUUUUUAU
rnacentral:lncRNA from 1 species